UUCGAUGAUACGCGAGGAACCUUACCAGGGCUUAAAUGCAAGUUGAAUGAUGUGGAAACAUGUCAGUCUUCGGACAAUUUGCAAGGUGCUGCAUGGCUGUCGUCAGCUCGUGCCGUGAGGUGUUGGGUUAAGUCCCGCAACGAGCGCAACCCCCAUCUUUAGUUGCUAGCAGGUAAUGCUGAGGACUCUAAAGAAACUGCCUACGCAAGUAGUGAGGAAGGCGGGGACGACGUCAAGUCAUCACGGCCCUUACGUCCUGGGCCACACACGUGCUACAAUGGUUGGUACAGAGGGCAGCUACUGGGUGACCAGAUGCGAAUCUCUAAAGCCAAUCUCAGUUCGGAUUGGAGUCUGCAACUCGACUCUAUGAAGCUGGAAUCGCUAGUAAUCGCGCAUCAGCCAUGGCGCGGUGAAUACGUUCCCGGGCCUUGUACACACCGCCCGUCAAACAAUGGAAGCUGGGGGUGCCUGAAGUCGGUAACCGCAAGG
rnacentral:rRNA from 1 species